GUAGGUGGCAAGCGUUGUCCGGGAAUUAUUGGGGCGUAAAGCGCGCGCAGGCGGUUCUUUAAGUCUGAUGUGAAAGCCCACGGGCUCAACCGUGGGAGGGUCAUUGGAAGCUGGAGAACUUGAGUGCAGAAGAGGAAAGCGGAAUUCCACGUGUAGCGGUGAAAUGCGUAGAGAUGUGGAGGAACACCAGUGGCGAAGGCGGCUUUCUGGUCUGUAACUGACGCUGAGGCGCGAAAGCGUGGGGAGCAAACAGGAUUAGAUACCCUGGUAGUCCACGCCGUAAACGAUGAGUGCUAAGUGUUAGGGGGUUUCCGACCCUUAGUGCUGCAACUAACGCAUUAAGCACUCCGCCUGGGGAGUACGGCCGCAAAGGCUGA
rnacentral:rRNA from 1 species